UGCAGUCGAGCGGUAACAUUUCUAGCUUGCUAGAAGAUGACGAGCGGCGGACGGGUGAGUAAUGCUUGGGAAUAUGCCUUAUGGUGGGGGACAACAGUUGGAAACGACUGCUAAUACCGCAUAAUGUCUACGGACCAAAGGGGGGGAUCUUCGGACCUCUCGCCAUUUGAUUAGCCCAAGUGAGAUUAGCUAGUUGGUGAGGUAAUGGCUCACCAAGGCGACGAUCUCUAGCUGGUUUGAGAGGAUGAUCAGCCACACUGGGACUGAGACACGGCCCAGACUCCUACGGGAGGCAGCAGUGGGGAAUAUUGCACAAUGGGCGCAAGCCUGAUGCAGCCAUGCCGCGUGUGUGAAGAAGGCCUUCGGGUUGUAAAGCACUUUCAGUAAGGAGGAAAGGGAUGUAGUUAAUAACUGCAUUCUGUGACGUUACUUACAGAAGAAGCACCGGCUAACUUCGUGCCAGCAGCCGCGGUAAUACGAGGGGUGCAAGCGUUAAUCGGAAUUACUGGGCGUAAAGCGUUCGUAGGCGGUUGAUUAAGCAAGAUGUGAAAGCCCAGGGCUCAACCUUGGAACUGCAUUUUGAACUGGUCAACUAGAGUACUGUAGAGGGUGGUGGAAUUUCCAGUG
rnacentral:rRNA from 1 species